GCAAAUAUGACUUGCUGCUUAUAAACCCUGUUAAAUAAGAUCAUGAUAAGAAGGCAGACCUCAGGGCCUGAGGAGCAUGCCAAUAACGAAAGCACAGAGCUGAACGGGGUCAGCAGAGGACGAAUCCUUCUAAUUCCUAAUGUUGAGUCCAACUGAUGCUUGUGUGAUUUUCUGGCUCUCUGUCUAUCAGCUCCUCCCUCUGUUCACAGCAGACACUCUGAGGUCUAGCUCACCCUUUGUGUUAAGUGUUAACUCUUUUGUAAAAGUUCUCAAGCUCCUCUCCAUGCACUCCUAGUCUGUAACAUGAAGUAGCCCUGGAUUCUAGUCAUUUUUGGGGAGUAUGCCGUCUGCCUCAUGACAAUUUUAUUUUUGGCUUCCCAAGUUCCUUAAAAGAACAUUGAUGGCAGAGAUCCUAGCUCAUUUUCCCUCCACCUAAAAGAGCUCUCUCUCAACCCAUAACACUUACAAGAUGUGAGCAGGUAACCUCGGGGAUGACAAAUACUACUGUUUGCCACGAUCUCCAAUCUAAGAGGUUUGUGGAAAUACAUUUUUUUCACAUCUGUGUAUUAUUUCCCUAUUUGCUUUAUUUAAAUACUUGGACACAUUUUCCUCUUUGAAAAAUAUUUGACUAUCUUCUGCUUCCCCACAUUACUUAGGUUUGUUUAUGUCUACUAGAAAUUUGAUAGACAAUAAAAAACAUUUAUUGAGCACCUAGUAUAUCCUGAGAAAAAUGCUGAUUAGGGUUGACCAUACCAGAUGAAGUUUGCACAGGCAACAUUAUCUCAUAAGGUGGAUUCUGUUAUCAACAGAGUGAUCUGGGGGCCUUACGUGAGGCCAGAUUGUCAGGGACGGCUCUAAUUUGGCAAGUCAAAUCCGAGAGGACUGAGAGAGACAUACUUAUUUUUUUGAGCAUUUCUAGGACAUUUCACUCCCUAGAGAUAAACCCACGUGUGACAUCCACUUCCUGGUUCUCCUUGCUCCAAAGCACGUGGCUCUUCUAGACUCUGGAGGCUUUUGCCAUCACAAAUGAAAACGAAGGCAGAUGCUAUCAGUCAGAAGCAAGAAGAGAAAGGUGUGAGGACAACAUGAGAGGGUGCCGCAGGGACUGUCCCUGUCCAGGUAAAGGCUCUAUGGAGGGCAUAGAAGAUACAUGGCACCCUGCAGGGCAGGACAUUCUGAACACCAUGAAAGCAACAUUAUAGAUAGUUCCAGCCUUGGUGGAAUUUAAUGCAGAAGAGAUGACAUGUCAGAGUGACUGGAGCAUGAGGCGAUCGUAUGCACACGAUGAAGCUUUGCAUAAAGAAACAACAGGCUAAGAGAGUCUCCUGAGAAAAGCUGGGCUUGUGAGAUAACCAGCCCUACUCGGAGAAGCUUUGGAAAAAGAAAAACAAAAACUCAACUUUACAACUGUAUAUCUGGACCAAACACCUGAGGGACUGUCGGUAAAUCCUUUACUAUAUGACACUGCCCAUGCCUGGAAAUGAGGGAUAGCGUAUACUCCAAGGAACAACAUCUCUUGUAGGGUUUCACUUCCUGAAAAGCUACUGAAGAAAAAAACCAUUGAAGUCAUGGGACAAAGGGCUAUUCCUCUGAGUUAAAUAACAAUGUCCCCUGGAGGGAGAAUUCCACUUCUUCUGCCAACCAGCAACCCUGCUGGCAGCUGUGUUUGAGAAAAGCGUGCCUAUCAACUAAUGAUGCCUAACCCCUCUCCUGGCUCCUGAAUGGAGAGUCUGUGUUGGUGGUAUUGAUACCCACCAUUAACAAAAACUUCGCUUACUUUCAAAAAUGUAGAUCCUUUUAUGAAUUCUUCAUCAUAACAAAGGCAAUGGUUUCCCAUUUUUGUCUUAAUUGUAUGUUUGCCCAAAUUUGAUGGAUCAUGUUUUGGUUUUUAUAUAAUUUUCUUUUUCCAGAUUUCCAUUUAGGGUCCUCAGGCUGAAACUAGGCAUAUCCCAUGGCCCAGGCUGGUUGGACACAACUAAAUCUACAUAAAUCUCCAUUGAGUCUCCGAGGAGAUUCGAUGAGAAAAUAUUUUAGGAAACAGCGUUAUGAGUCUCUGUGCUCAGUGAUAUUUAAGUUGGCUGACCAUUUCAAUUUUGGAAAUUAUAGUCCAUUAACAUGAAAAAAAGGCAAUUACAUGUUUGUAUAUUUCUACCUAUGCUUGUGCUUUUUGCAAAUGUUUAUAAAGAGUGGCAUGAUAAAAUAAAAUAAUUUUGUGUUUG
rnacentral:lncRNA from 1 species